CUAGGUCAGUGCUUGGUUAACAAGAAUUUUAAAAAAAGGCUACAUUAUAAAAAAAAUAUUUUUUUAUGUUUUCAUAGACUGUAUAGUACAUUCUCUAAGGCUGUACUGUAUAUUCUCUAAAGUUGUACUGUACAUUCUUUAAGGCUGUACUGUAUAUUCUCUAAGACUGUAUAGUGUUGUUCAAUAGUAACAAUUUUCCUUUGAACAUUGAUUUCACAUCAUCUUUAUGGGCAGUUAAGAUGUGCAAACAUUUUGGGGGAAAAUAUUUUUUAUAUUGAUCAGUUUCUCAAAGUGGUUUUUCUUAUUCAUAAUGUCACACCUUGCAGAAGUGACAUAUGUGUUCACAGAUAGUGCUGUCACAUCAAUGUCCAAAGUGGUCAUUGUUUUAGUUUAUUUAUUUUCGCCCUUUAAGUUCACUUGUCUUAUGGCGUCCGUCACAAAUAGACCAUGGGACAAAAGAAAAUGCCACAUUGUCAUGUUGUUUUGUCAUCAUAGUCGAUGUCAUAUAGAUGUCAUGUGUGUCACCCCCAUGGCUGCAGUGUAUAUAAUGUCUUCGCUACUUCAUUUUCACAGUGCUUUUUAAAAGAAAAUUAUCCACAACUAAUGUGUGACAUUUUAUACUGGAGAAUAAGGUACAGGCUGGAUGUACAAAGAAUAAUGGAAAAAGUUCAUGAUAAAAUUAAGGGGUAUCAUCAAACACAGACAAAAGUUCAUGUUUUCAAAAACACUCAAUUUAAUAUAUCCUUGAUUUUACUUUCCCCCCCCCCCAUAUCUUGUUAGAAACUAAAGUCAUUUUCUGUUACCACCAGCAAUAAAAAUUUAGGCAGAUAGAUGGUCUGGGGUCACCAGGUCAAGGUUGUCAUCAUGUCUACUUUAAUUGACUUCACUUCCGUUUACUAUCAAUGGCAAAUGUUAUACAAAUGUGUUAUGUUUUAGAAGUCUUGGUGAGUUAAUGUCUCGUCUCUAUGUUUCAGUGUUAGACUAGACUGUCAUGGUGAAAUAUUGAUCAGUGUUACUGUCAUUCAUUUUUUUUUGUUUUGAUUCUAAGACAUCUUGUUUAUGAAAAAACCCAGAAAUCAGUGAUUUUGUGAUGUAAAUAUGUUGUUGCUGAGUUGUAAAACCCAAUGAUUAAUUGAAUCAGUUAAUUGCCCGGUUCAGUGAGAUUUCCUAAUUAGGUUCCCUUCUAUGUGUCUACUUCAUCCAAUACACUAUUACUUUUUUUUUCCAGCAUCCUUAUAAAUACUGAACAAGAUGUAAAAACUAAGUUGACUAGUAGUUUGCAUUAAAUCUAUGUAGAACAGGGUUUUAGGCCAUUUGAAAACAGAAAAUAAACUGUUAUGUUCAUCUUUAUAGGAGACAAACAAAGGUCAUUUAUAAUUACCAAUAGGCUGUUCUAAAGCUCCUCACUUAUCCAUUACAUUAAUUUAAUUUCUUAUACAAAUGUAGCAAAUGAUAUAAAAAUAUAUUCACAUUUAAUGUGCACUAAUUUUGGCAUUGGUAUUCUAAGGUCUAGAAAUUAUAUUGGCCUUUUAAAACUAACGCACAUUUAUUAAAAUACAAUCAUAUGUUUUUUGUUUUAUUUAAAACAUGCAGAAACAGAACGUAAUCACCUUUUUAAAGAUAGACAACAGAGUAUAUUCAUUUAUUUAAUCCAUUGAAAUAGACAUGGACAAUUCUUAUUUUUUUAAAGUAUUCCCCCCCCCCUUUUUCUAAUACAGUAAGUAUUAUCUUGAAGCACUUUUUAAAAUUUAGAAUUAUAACAAAGUUCAAAAAUUAUUUUGGACAAAACUGCUUUACAUAUUAGACUUAUUUCUAUUUGGAAUUAGCAUCUAGCUCCAUACUUUGUUUUCAAGAAGAAUCUAACGUCUGUGAUAAAAAGCUUCAUCUGUGGUACAAAGUAAACUAAAUGUUUUAAAGUAUUCUAAAUCUAGAUUUUAGACCAAAAAAAAACAGACCACAUGAAUGUCAUCAAAUUUAAAAUUUAAAUCUAGUUUAUUAAUUACAAAAAAAAAAUAUUUACUUUUGUGUUAUUAUUCCUAAAUGAAAUUUUAAAAAAUGUUCAAAUUUAUUUUCUGUUUCACCAAGAAAUGUGCACAAUAAAUAAACCUAUUGAUCAAGUGAAA
rnacentral:sRNA from 1 species